rnacentral:lncRNA from 1 species
AGAAUUUAAAAAAACAUAAUACAGGGCUAAAGCAUGCCCGUUUCAAGCACUGACUAUUAUGCAGCAGACCAGCAGUCCAGGAACAAAACAUGCAGUUUGUUACAAAUUCCUCCGGAUCAAAAACUAACAGAACAGAUUAUGCAACUAAUUAGAAAGAAAGUCUUUUCAAAGUAGAACAGAACAGAAAGGCAACAGUGGUAGGCUCAAGGCUGGUAGCAAUCAUGAAUCAGUAGAUUGAGAUCUACUGAUUGAGAGCUAGGUCAUUAGAAGUGGCAUUUCAUCAAAGUGCUCCCAUGCUUGUGAAGUUCUCUUUUUUCGCUUUCUUACAUCUUUAUCAUCCUCUUUAUCAUCCUCUAGGUUUAGUGGAUUCUGAAAAUCAUCAAUAUUCAACAAGCGCGUCUCAACAAAACACAAGAAAAAAAUAUAAAUACAUACAACUACAUAACAUUAUAAGUAUGUACCUCUUUUGUAGCUUCUAAGUUUUCCUCAUUUGUGACUUUGAAAGUUUCUUCAGUGUGCUCCAUUGAAGACAACAGCAGGCCAGCAGCUCGAGUCGAGAGAGAACAGAAGACCUAAUUUAGUAGAAAACAGUCGGCUCGCUGUGUGUAUUGUGUAAACUGUAAUGUGACAAUGGGUAUCUCUGUUGGACUAACUCUGGGCC